GUGGAAGAGAGGAAAACGUUUCGUCCAACAUGCAGCCCAUGGACCCUGGGGCCUUGAUUUCUAAAUAAAAUGCAGAAUUUACUUUCAUCUGAAAACAGGACUCCCGGCCAUGGACAGUCCAGCCCCUUUCCUUUUCAGCCAAGAUUAUACAUGGGCCCAAGGAUCUUUUCACGAAAGAUAUCAGUGCUUUGACCUCACUGAACCGGAGCCAGAUGCCCAUAAAUACAUUCCCUUAUUUCUAUCCUGCUUUGGAUGCCAGUUGGACCAGGAAGUUGGUUUGUUUUGGGUGUUCUCAGUAGCAUAUAUUCCACCAAAACCUGCACUUUUCACGUUUCUCAAAAGACAGCUGAGCCAAUUUCCUGAAAUGCACCUGAAUUCCUGCUUGUGGUCAUUUGUAAUGUUGGUGAUCUGCUGAAAGCUGUUGAAUCACGGUUCAGUGUCCACAUACUGGAGACUUGUUUAUCCCCUCACCACGUGUGGACUGAUCAGCUGGACGUCUCUUUCUCCGUGUUGAGUAGCUGAAGCUUUGGAAGCAGGUUCAAGAAAAUAAAUGUGAAAAACUUGAGUUGGGAUUUGAUAAAAUGAACGGUAAAUCUUAAUCAAGCCAUCAUAAACUGCUUCAGUUUUUAAGUUGACAAUAGAGAUUUUUUUCAUCUUUAAUUAAAAUGUUAAAAAGACAAGCAUUUACUGUCUUUAAGUCCAAAUUAGUUUUAAAGCCUGUGAUGCAAACAUAGCAGAGGAAUAAGUGAACUUCGUUCCAUCAUACCAGUGCUGAAAUAUUUGACAUGUUUGCACUGAGUAGGAAUACAUAGACUUGCAACCAAGCCUGGACUUGCUGGCCAAGAAAAAACCCCUUAGCGCCCCCAUUUUCUUCAACAUGCCGCUUCCUGAAUGAAUGUGCUGCUUAAAGCACAGCACUCCCAGUCUUUUGAAUCAUAAUA